CAGAAAAGGUCUUCACCUGUCAAGACACUACAACACAAUCUAAGACUUGUAUCGGGACCAAAUGCUACUCACAAAAACAAGAAAAUACCAUUGUAGGUGACUCAAGUAAACCAUACAGCUUACAAAGCUGCCUUCCAUCAUGCAAAGAACUCAACAUAAAAUUCACAUUUGGAGAA